rnacentral:lncRNA from 1 species
AAACAUUUUCUCAUGUAAUAAAUGGGGCGUUAAAAGAGGAUAAGGUCAAGGCUCUAAGAUUGGUUGCUCAUUCAAAUUCAAACUUUAUUUUGAAUUUGAAUGGCCAACCAAUCAUCCUUAUCCACUCAUAUGGUGCAUUAAAGUAGGGCAUGAGGAGGGCUUUGCAUGAGGAAAAAUUCAUGAGAACUUCCUUCUCGUGAAUUCAAAAGGGCGCAGUGGAAGUGAGGUGGCGCAGGGAGAAUGGGUCAAGGUGGUUUCAUUAUUUAAACCAACCUAAUUGAACCAAAUAAGUUAGGCCCAAUUAGACUAAUUUAAACC